GACGAACGCUGGCGGCGUGCUUAACACAUGCAAGUCGAACGGUAAGGCCCUUCGGGGUACACGAGUGGCGAACGGGUGAGUAACACGUGGGUGAUCUGCCCUGCACUUCGGGAUAAGCCUGGGAAACUGGGUCUAAUACCGGAUAGGACUCCUGCCUGCAUGGGUGGGGGUGGAAAGCUUUUGCGGUGUGGGAUGGGCCCGCGGCCUACCAGCUUGUUGGUGGGGUGAUGGCCUAACAAGGCGACGACGGGUAGCGGGCCUGAGAGGGUGACCGGGCACUCUGGGACUUAGAUACGGCCCAGACUCCUACGGUAGGCAGCAGUUGGGAAUGUUGCGCAAUGGGCGCAAGCCUGAUGCAGCGACGCCGCGUGAGGGAUGACGGCCUUCGGGUUGUAAACCUCUUUCAGCACAGACGAAGCGCAAGUGACGGUAUGUGCAGAAGAAGGACCGGCCAACUACGUGCCAGCCGCCGCCGUAA
rnacentral:rRNA from 1 species